GUUUGGGCAGAAACCCUGACACCAGGGGGGUACCAAAGGGGCCACUGAUCCCCCAAAGCACCUAGUUGUGCUUGCAGGUGAGCCUUAUAGAAGGGAUACUCACCCACCCAGCACGAGGGCCGGCCAGCCUGCAGAGGUGUGUCAGGUGGUUGACCAUCUUCUUGAUGAGUUUCACCUCCUCAUCUAGGAAGCUGUUCUCUAGGAAGUUACAGAACCCACAGCAUGCAGAUCCAGAAGGGCCUGGUUCACGUUCUCCUCCUGGAUCAUAGCAGCUUCCCUGGCGUCCAAGCUUUUACCACACUUAUCCUGGGAUGGCUUCUGCGUGUCCCGGAAGAGGGCACGGCUCCUGCUCUUAUGGUUCUCCUUGGCCAACUCCGGGAGAUCAACACCUUCUCCCUCCUGGAUCUUUCCAGUCAGCAUUUCCACAAACUCAAGAGCCUAAAUCCUUGCUUUCAAUGUGGUCAAUGAAGCAGCAUCCUCAACAUCACCUAGGAGCCGGCUACAAAUGCAGAAUCUCAAGCUCCACCCCAGCCUGCUGAUUGUCUGCAGUUUAACAAAAUCUCCAGGAGAUCUGUAUGCACAUUAAUGUGCUCUAAACCACAACCAAGAUUCUCUGGUCUUCCAUGCUGUUGAGAAGAAUAAAGUGGCAUACUUUCAAUUCUCAAGGGACACUUUGAAGAGGAUGGGCUGGAGUGCCACAGUCUACCAUGGAAUCUACUACUGGAAGCUCAGUCCCCUUCCCAUGUGGUAUUAUUUUAGUCUGAAGAGCUCAGAGUAGGAUAAAUGUAGAGUUAAGGAAUACAGAGUCUCCAAGAUUGCCCAGAUGUUGAAGCAGCAUGGGUCAACUUCUGUGGGUAAAGGUAAAAGUUUUCCUAAAGAUUAGUAGAGAUUUGCAGUGUAGAAGCUAGAAGAGGAUGCUCCAGCAGAGUGGUCCUUAUGGACAGAGAUAAGGGAAUAAGAUUAAGAUCUGGGAAUGGAUAAUUUCGAGUUAUAUCCUUGAUAGGAUAUAACUUUUUAAAAAAAUGUUUCUUUUUUCUUUUUCAAAGUAAUCACUACACUCAACAUGGAGCUCAAACUCACAACCCUGAGAUCAAGAGUCACACACUUGUCUGACUGAGCCAGCCAGGCACCCCAAGAUUAUAACUUUUGAAGAGGUUUUUUUUUUUCCUUAAACUGUGGGAAAAGUUGUAUUUAGCAUAUAGUUUUUUUGUUUUCAUUUGAAUAUAGUUGACAUACAGCGUUACAUUAGUUUUAGGUGUACAACUUGGUGAUUUGACAAAUUUAUAUGUUAUAUACGUUUAGCACAAGUGUAGUUACCAUCUGUCCCAUUAUAUCGCUAUUACAGUAUCAUUGACUGGGUUCCUUAUGCUGUGCCUUUUAUUCCCAUGACGUACUCACUCCAUAACUGGAAGUCUGUAUCUCCCACUCCCCUUCAUCUAUUUUGCCCAAUCCCCCACCCCCUAUUUAGCAUAUAGUUUAAAUUUCUUCCUUUAAUAUGCCAUAAUUCCUUUAGUGUUUUCCAGUCUGCUAAUGCAUUUGGUAAGUCUGCAUGUCUUUUUUUUUUUAAGAUUUUAUUCAUUUAUUUGAGAGAGAAAGUGUGAGAGAGAGAAAGCAUGAGAGUGGGGAGGGUCAGAGGGAGAAGCAGACUCCCGCUGAGCAGAGAGCCUGAUGUGGAACUUGAUCCUGGGACUCCAGGAUCAUGACCUGAGCCAAAGGCAGACGCUUAACCAACUGAGCCACCCAGGCACCCCUUCUAAGUCUGCAUGUCUUGAGUAGGGCUGUAAUGGAAGGAAAUGAGAGCUGGAUCCAUAAGGAUAUUUGAUAUCUCCUCCAAAUGCAACUUGUUUUUCUCCUCCCUCCUGAUUCUCAUCCUACAAAGUCCCUUAGAGGUAUAGCAUCAAGGUACCCAGGGAGACUGCAUUCAUGAUUUCCAGACUGAGACCAAUAACAAUAACAAAUGAAGAGCAUUCUCAUGGUGGAAUGGGGAUUUAGGAGAGACUUUAAGAAGAACCUUGGAAGAUCAAGGAACACUCUAUUUCCCCAAAUUUACUUAGAGGGAGUUGUCCCUUAGGGGAAAAGGAAAAGCUAUUAUCUGGGUUGCAUGAAUUUUAUAAUAUAACCUGAGAGAUCUAUAAUAACAUAUACUUGUGACUGAAUUUUAACUUUGCUUAUAAUUAAAUGGAAAUCAAAAUA